GAUAAACGCUGGCGGCGUGCCUAAUACAUGCAAGUCGAGCGAACGGACGAGAAGCUUGCUUCUCUGAUGUUAGCGGCGGACGGGUGAGUAACACGUGGAUAACCUACCCAUAAGACUGGGAUAACUUCGGGAAACCGGAGCUAAUACCGGAUAAUAUUUUGAACCGCAUGGUUCAAAAGUGAAAGACGGUCUUGCUGUCACUUAUAGAUGGAUCCGCGCUGCAUUAGCUAGUUGGUAAGGUAACGGCUUACCAAGGCAACGAUGCAUAGCCGACCUGAGAGGGUGAUCGGCCACACUGGAACUGAGACACGGUCCAGACUCCUACGGGAGGCAGCAGUAGGGAAUCUUCCGCAAUGGGCGAAAGCCUGACGGAGCAACGCCGCGUGAGUGAUGAAGGUCUUCGGAUCGUANAACUCUGUUAUUAGGGAAGAACAUAUGUGUAAGUAACUGUGCACAUCUUGACGGUACCUAAUCAGAAAGCACGGCUAACUACGUGCCAGCAGCCGCGGUAAUACGUAGGUGGCAAGCGUUAUCCGGAAUUAUUGGGCGUAAAGCGCGCGUAGGCGGUUUUUUAGUCUGAUGUGAAAGCCCACGGCUCAACCGUGGAGGGUCAUUGGAAACUGGAAAACUUGAGUGCAGAAGAGGAAAGUGGAAUUCCAUGUGUAGCGGUGAAAUGCGCAGAGAUAUGGAGGAACACCAGUGGCGAAGGCGACUUUCUGGUCUGUAACUGACGCUGAUGUGCGAAAGCGUGGGGAUCAAACAGGAUUAGAUACCCUGGUAGUCCACGCCGUAAACGAUGAGUGCUAAGUGUUAGGGGGUUUCCGCCCCUUAGUGCUGCAGCUAACGCAUUAAGCACUCCGCCUGGGGAGUACGACCGCAAGGUUGAAACUCAAAGGAAUUGACGGGGACCCGCACAAGCGGUGGAGCAUGUGGUUUAAUUCGAAGCAACGCGAAGAACCUUACCAAAUCUUGACAUCCUUUGACAACUCUAGAGAUAGAGCCUUCCCCUUCGGGGGACAAAGUGACAGGUGGUGCAUGGUUGUCGUCAGCUCGUGUCGUGAGAUGUUGGGUUAAGUCCCGCAACGAGCGCAACCCUUAAGCUUAGUUGCCAUCAUUAAGUUGGGCACUCUAAGUUGACUGCCGGUGACAAACCGGAGGAAGGUGGGGAUGACGUCAAAUCAUCAUGCCCCUUAUGAUUUGGGCUACACACGUGCUACAAUGGACAAUACAAAGGGCAGCGAAACCGCGAGGUCAAGCAAAUCCCAUAAAGUUGUUCUCAGUUCGGAUUGUAGUCUGCAACUCGACUACAUGAAGCUGGAAUCGCUAGUAAUCGUAGAUCAGCAUGCUACGGUGAAUACGUUCCCGGGUCU
rnacentral:rRNA from 1 species